UUUGGCGGGUGCGGUAGAUAUUUUUUUUUAUUUUGUUUCUUUAGGCUGGGAUAUUUUCUGUCAUGAAAUGGAAAGUGUCUUGGUAUUGGGAUUAUAUUGCGAAACUGCCAUAGAUGUAUAUUACAAGGGGGAGAGGUGGGGAUGGCAGAUUGGUAGAUAACGGGAGAAACGAGGGUAAGACUUUGGGGUGGAUGUACACGUCGGACUAGUGGGAGACACGUGUAACGCUGAUAAUAUCUUUUGAGAGGUCGGGGAGUGGUGAGAAAAA
rnacentral:lncRNA from 1 species